GGGAAUUUUCCGCAAUGGGCGAAAGCCUGACGGAGCAAUCUCGCGUGAGGGAUGACUGCCUAUGGGUUGUAAACCUCUUUUUUCAGGGAGGAAUCAAUGACGUGUACCUGAAGAAUAAGCAUCGGCUAACUCC
rnacentral:rRNA from 1 species